GAAAAGCUGAGACUACUGACUGCCCUAAGUCAUGGCUUUGUGGCUAGCUGCUUUCUAGCAUGGCAGAUCACUCACUGUGGACAGAAGGAGAGGAGCUCUGGGGCUGGACAGGCUGUCUCCUGGGAUGGCAGUGCACACUGAUUCUCUAUAACCAUGGAGGAAGCAGAAGCAGCAGGUGACUGCCGUGGGCUCCACUUGUUUACAGGUGUGUUCUCCUCUUGCACUUUUAAGGACCUUCUACGAGAGCCUUUGACCCAGAAGGAAUCUGUCUGGUUUUGUUUGCUCACCAUACAAUGGUUUUCAGUGGUAGCAACUGUCAGCUGCUUCUCACCCAGUCCUUGAGUUCACACUUGCUCUUGGCUUGGCCUUCCUGGCUGUCCCUCUGCCUGUUCUGAGAAGGUGUCCUUCGGUGGAUCAGACACCUCUUCCCUGUGAUGGUUAGCUUUAAUUGUCAACUCAACCUAGAAUCAACUGGGAAGAGAGUCUCAGUGAGGUGCUGUCUACAUUGGGUUUGCCUGUGGAUGCCUCGGAGAGGGGCUGUCUUAAGCCUGUUCACAUAGGAAGACCCAGCCUGCUGUGGGCAGCGCCAUUCCUGAGGCAGGGCUUCUAGUAAGAGUGGAGAAGUUUGGCUGGAGACAAGCAGGUGAGUGCAUGCGUUCAUCCCUCUGACUAUGGAUGUAAGGUGACUUGCUGACUCUGACUUGCAUGUAAGGUGACUUGCUGGUUGACAUUCCUGCC
rnacentral:lncRNA from 1 species